rnacentral:tRNA from 1 species
CCUUGGGUGGUACAAAGGGUUUGUGCGCUUAGCUGCUAACUGAAGAGUUGGUGGUUUGAGUCCACCCACAGGUG